rnacentral:rRNA from 1 species
UACGGGGGGGGCAAGCGUUGUUCGGAAUUACUGGGCGUAAAGGGCUCGUAGGCGGCCAACUAAGUCCGACGUGAAAUCCCCAGGCUUAACCUGGGAACUGCGUCGGAUACUGGAUGGCUUGAAUUCGGGAGAGGGAUGCAGAAUUCCUGGUGUAGCGGUGAAAUGCGCAGAUAUCAGGAGGAACACCGAUGGCGAAGGCAGGUCUCUGGGCAUUAACUGACGCUGAGGAGCGAAAGCUAGGGGAGCGAACGGG